GAGUUUGAUCAUGGCUCACAGUGAACGCUGGCGGCGUGCUUAACACAUGCAAGUCGAACGGAACCUUCGGGUUUAGUGGCGCACGGCUGAGUAACGUAUAGCUAACAUGCCCUUUACAGGGGGAUAACAGUUGGAAACGACUGCUAAUACCCCAUACUCCUUCUCAUUAUAAGAUGAGUCGGGAAAGUUUUUUCGCUAAAGGAUUGGGCUAUAUGGUAUCAGCUUGUUGGUGAGGUAACGGUUCACCAAGGCUAUGACCCCUAACUGGUCUGAGAGGAUGAUCAGUCACACUGGAACUGAUACACCGGUCCAGACUCCUACUGGAGGUAGCAGUGGGGAAUAUUACACAAUGGAGGAAACUCUGAUGCACCAACGCCGCGUGGAGGAUGACAUCAUUUCGGUGCGUACACUCCUUUUAUAUGGGAAGAUAAUGACGGUACCAUAUGAAUAAGCACCGGCUAACUCCGUGCCAUCAGCCGCGGUAAUACGGAGGGUGGAAGCGUUUACUCGGAAUCUCUGGGCGUAAAGCGCAUGUAUGCCGUCUUGUACGUUGGGUGUGAAAGUCCUAUGGCUCAACCAUAGAACUGCACUCAAUACUAUUAGACUAGAUUCUGGGCGAGGAAAACGCGAAUUAUUUGUGUAUCGCUAAAAUCCGUAUAGAUCACUAGGACUACCCAAAUGCGAACGUAAUUUUCUGGGACAGUACUUGCGCUCACAUGCCACAGCGUGGG
rnacentral:rRNA from 1 species